rnacentral:lncRNA from 1 species
UUAGUAAACAGCAUUGAAACUCUGGGUCUUGGCCUCACUGUCUACCCUGUUACUGUACCUGCAUUCCCCUAACAGACAGUUCUUUCAAAUGUUGAGUACUGUUUGCAGAACUUCUGUCAUAAAGCUAAGGACUGCAUUAGGAAAGAUUCCCAGUAUUUUCACAUAUAGUAUUUCUUCUGAAAACUUCUGGCUCAUGAGAGAGAUCAUAACAAGCCAAGGUCAUCUUUAGAAACUCUGGGGUUGUCUGCCCAGAUGCCACCUUUGACCACUUGCAAUACUGCACCCAAAAAGGAGGGAGAGGCCUGUCUGGAGAAAGGGGAGGAGCCCUGCCAGGAAGAAGGUGAGGGGAAC